rnacentral:rRNA from 1 species
GACGAGCCGUGCGACGUUGUUCGGAAUCACUGGGCUUAAAGGGCGCGUAGGCGGGCGUUCAAGUCCGGGGUGAAAGCCCCCGCUUAACGGGGAAGUGCUCCGGAUACUGGAGGUCUCGAGGGGGGUAGGGCGUGCGGAACAGCCGGUGGAGCGGUGAAAUGCGUUGAUAUCGGCUGGAACUCCGGUGGCGAAAGCGGCACGCUGGACCUCUACUGACGCUGAGGCGCGAAAGCCAGGGGAGCGAACGGGAUUAGAAACCCCAGUAGU